GGGCGUGUAGCUCAGCUGGUAGAGCGCUUCCUUUACACGGAAGAUGUCACGGGUUCGAUCCCUGUCGCGCCCA
rnacentral:tRNA from 1 species